rnacentral:lncRNA from 1 species
CUUUUUCCAAAAAAGAGAAAUCACUGUGAUUAUUUUAUCUUAUUGGAAUGUUGGAUAAUAUAAUCUGCUUUACUAAUCAUUAAGCACGCUGUAAAUUUUCCAUUACAACAGAAUUUGUACCUCAACUAAGGUGAUAAAGUUUUAAAGUUUAGAAAGUGAAAGCCAGCCCCGCCCCUCUCCCAGAGUGUGCGGGGACAGCAGUUCCAUGGGCGGCUUUCCUUGUGACAUCACAGGACCUUCAUGACACGCAGCUGCCUGGCCCCGCCUCCUUUCCCUUUCAUCUUUCUCAUUGACCAAUGGGCUUGGAGCAUUAAGGCCACGCCCCUUUUCCGCAUUCUAGUGCAGCCCUGGUGACGCCUCCUGUGGCUCAGUCACAUAGCUGUGUGGUACGUGACUGGAGGCAUAUCACUGUCCUCGCCUGGAUCACGCCAAUGUGACCCCAACCCCACCACCCUCCCCACCCCAUGAUGUCCAAAAAAACCCAACAAAGAAAAUUGGCUGGGACCAAGAAAAAGGUAAAAUGCAUCAGAUUGCAGUACCCCAACCCCAACCCAGCCCCAGGUCCCCUCUGAUGGCAGAACAGCUGCCAGAAUCCGUGUCACUCCAGAGGCACACGGGGCCGGGCCCCCGCAAUGCCUCUGGGCUCCCCCAACCAAAAUCUCGUGUCAGCCCCAACCCCUCAGCAGUCCUGCCCCUGCCCUCACCGGUCACCCCAGGGUGACUUUCAGCCGGUGACUCGUGGGGCUCCCUGCUUUGUACUCUGCCCUCACCUCCUAUUGUCCAAAAACGGAUCUCCCUGGGCGCUUCGGGCUCACGUUCCCAAGGAACCGGAUGCCCCAGCACCUGCCCUCACCAGUCACCCCAGGGUGACUUUGGGCAGGUGACUCCUGGGGCUCCCCACUCCAUACUCGGCCCUCACCUACCGCUGCCCCAAGCCUGACUUCCCUGGGCUCUUUGGGCUCACGUCUCCAAGUACCUGGGUCCCAACCCUGUGACCCCACGCCAAUCUCAAAGAGGCAACUUGGGCACAGCACUGAUGGGAUAAUGGGUUUGGUUUGGUUUUCUCCCAGGCUUCUACUCUCCAGAGAGACUUUAACAGUUUUUCUAAGUUCUCCACUUCAUAUUUGAAUUCUCCAUGGUUCUGGGACCAGAGUGCCCAUCACUCAGUGAUCUUUGAAGUGAGAUUUGCUCAUCUUCUGUGCAAGAGAUCUUCGGAAACUGGACUUGACAACUUGAAUCUUCCUCAUCUCAUCUCAACCUGGGGUACUUUGAGUGCCACAGGAUACAUAGGGGGCAUCUUUCUGAAGCAUCAGUUUUCCUUGAUUCUCUCUCUCCAUCU